UACGUAGGGAGCGAGCGUUGUUCGGAAUUACUGGGCGUAAAGAGUGUGUAGGCGGUGCUCUAAGUCUGUCGUGAAAUCUCCCGGCUUAACUGGGAGGGUGCGGCGGAAACUGGUGUGCUCGAGGGUGGGAGAGGUAAGCGGAAUUCCUGGUGUAGCGGUGAAAUGCGUAGAUAUCAGGAGGAACACCUGCGGUGUAGACAGCUUACUGGACCACUUCUGACGCUGAGACACGAAAGCGUGGGUAGCAAACAGG
rnacentral:rRNA from 1 species